rnacentral:rRNA from 1 species
CACACAGUAAACGAUGAAUACUCGCUGUUUGCGAUAUACAGUAAGCGGCCAAGCGAAAGCAUUAAGUAUUCCACCUGGGGAGUACGCCGGCAACGGUGAAACUCAAAGGAAUUGACGGGGGCCCGCACAAGCGGAGGAACAUGUGGUUUAAUUCGAUGAUACGCGAGGAACCUUACCCGGGCUUGAAUUGCAACCGAAUAAUCGAGAGAUCGAUUAGCCGCAAGGCGGUUGUGAAGGUGC